GAUGCGCCGGUGAUAGCCCCAUUGGAGGCACGGAAGGAGAGUACAUCUUGAAUCCAUAUAAUCAUAGUCGGACUAGAAAGUAGUGGAAUUGACACGUCUACUAUAUGUAUAUUCGAUCAAAUAUUUCACGAAUUAUUUUUGUAUAGAGCAUAUAAGAUAUUUAAUUUAAACAAAAUACCAUAGCAAUAGAUAAAUUUUCAAAUCAGAUUAUGUGUAUAAUAAAACAUACUAGGGAUAGAGGUAAUUUAUAAAUUUUUAUCUUAGAAUUUUGUGAAACACAUCAACCAUGAAAGAUCGACCAAAGCCUAAAAUAAUUAAGCAUCUUAUUAAGCUCCUAUAAAGCAUCAGAUAGGUUGAUUUAUCUCAUAGUAAGUUCCAGUCCAAACCACC
rnacentral:lncRNA from 1 species